ACCUUGCAACAGCAGAUACAGUUAUCAUAUUUGAUUCGGACUGGAACCCUCAAAAUGACCUACAGGCAAUGAGUAGAGCUCAUAGAAUCGGCCAACAAGAAGUUGUGAACAUCUACAGAUUUGUCAUAAGCAAAAGUGUUGAGGAAGAUAUCUUGGAGCGAGCUAAGAAAAAGAUGGUUCUUGACCACCUGGUGAUCCAGAAAUUGAAUGCAGAAGGAAGAUUAGAGAAGAAAG